rnacentral:rRNA from 1 species
AUUGAACGCUGGCGGCAUGCCUUACACAUGCAAGUCGAACGGUAACAGGUCUUCGGAUGCUGACGAGUGGCGAACGGGGGAGUAAUACAUCGGAACGUGCCCGAUCGUGGGGGAUAACGCAGCGAAAGCUGUGCUAAUACCGCAUACGAUCUACGGAUGAAAGCGGGGGAUCGCAAGACCUCGCGCGGACGGAGCGGCCGAUGGCAGAUUAGGUAGUUGGUGGGAUAAAAGCUUACCAAGCCGACGAUCUGUAGCUGGUCUGAGAGGACGACCAGCCACACUGGGACUGAGGCACGGCCCAGACUCCUACGGGAGGCAGCAGUGGGGAAUUUUGGACAAUGGGCGCAAGCCUGAUCCAGCCAUGCCGCGUGCAGGAUGAAGGCCUUCGGGUUGUAAACUGCUUUUGUACGGAACGAAAAAGCUCUCUCUAAUACAGGGGGUGAAUGACGGUACCGUAAGAAUAAGCACCGGCUAACUACGUG